AAUUAUACAAAUGCAAAACAGUAGCUGUAUACAAAUCUAAAAUUACGACAAAUUAGUAGCUGUAUAUGGUUUUAUUUUAGGAAGGUUGUUCUGUUGUUUUAGCCUAUAUAAUCUAAGAUUUUAUAUGGUUUCAGAUCACCAAUGCUGAAUGCAUUUCUGACACUAAACUCAGUUUUCAAGCAAGUAAAUAAAGCACUAAAUAGUAACGUACAACAGAUGGGGACUUAUGUUCACGUUUCACAUGAACUGUAUGCAAUCUUGAAACUACCAAAAUAGUUAUACUCACUUCUCUGGAAGUUGUAAUGUAGGGUACAAAUCACGUAAAAACUUCACAACGUCUGAGAAGUGUGCGACUCUCUCAACUAGUACAUAUCUUCCAUUAGCUGAAGCACUCUCAUAUGCUAGAAUAUGGGCCAUUGCAACAUCUCUCACGUCCACCCAUCCCAAAGUUACAUUUCCAAAUGUUGGCGAACCUGUAUCAAGGAUAGAACAGUUUCUUCAAUUAUCAAAGAAUUGUGCAGCGAAAAAUCCUAACAUAUUAUUAGCCCUCCCUUUCACGUUCCAUUUUAAUUUAUGUUUCAUUAUUUGGCAUUUCCUUUUGUUUUAUUUGAUCCAUAACAUAGUUUGAGUUUAAAAAAAAUGACACUGUGUAAUCAAGAUGCAGGCAAAUCAAACAAUAGAAAUUUAAGAGCAUAAGGUAUAAACAGUAAUUACCAUCUACUAGACUUAAAACCAUAGCAGAACUAGUGUUGAGUUCUGGUUGCAAGAGAGGUCCAACAACCAAUGCCGGGUUCAUUGUAACCAAGUCAAUAUUGUUUUCUUUCGCAAAUUUCCAGGCAGCAUCUUCGGCCAAAGUCUUUGAGAGGUUAUACCAUAACUAAAACAUAAAUAGGAAAAACAAGGAAUGUGAAAAACAGGGUAACAUAGUAUUACAGUACAAUAGUUAUUGUGUAAUCAGUGUUCAGAGACAAUUAAUUGUUAUCUUUUAAGAAGCACAAAACAUUAUCAUAUCUACUAUUUGUGUAGUUCUCCAAUGAUGUUUAAUCUCGGUAGUAAGGAUUAACAAGUUGAUUAGGGGAAACAGCACAUACCCCAUUUUCCUUACAAUAUUCAGGAUCGGAAUACCAAGUCUCGUCAACCACAACAUCAGGGGUUUUAGGCCUGUAGUUGAACGAAACUGCAGCAACGGAAGAAGUUAAAACGACGCGUUUCAGCGUGGGCGACUUCACACACGAUUUCAGAACAUUCAGAGUUCCCUUCAAAGCUGGAUCCAACAACUCAGUCUGAAAUACAUAAAGUAAAAUCAAAAUAUCACAAUCCACAGAUAAAAACAAAAUGCACAAAUCGAAUUGCAAUGCAAACGAAACAAACCUGCGGAUCUUUGGCAUUGUUAAAAAACGGAGAAGCAGUAUGAAACACAGCGUGAACACCUUCAACGGCAGAGUCAAAGGAACCUUCUUCUAGAAGAUUCGCCUUCACGAGAUGCAACCUCUCCUUGGCACCAUCAAGGUUAAGCAAGUGAUCAACCUUACUGGAAUUAUCUGCACAUCACAAAUUAUCCAAACUUUAAUUUUCGAAAUAGUAAUCAGCAUCAGCAUCACCACAAAUAAUCACCGACGAAAACAAAAAGUUAUGGAAGACAAAAGAAAGCACAUACUUGGAUCGCGAACGGUGGCCUUAACAGUGUAACCGCGUUCGAGAAGAAACUUGACGACCCAGGAAGCAAUGUAACCGGAAGCACCGGUGACACACACUACUUGUCCAGCUCCGGUGCUCAUUCUGGAUUAUGUUCUUCUACUCUGAGAUGAUUCUCUCUGUUGAGUGUUGUUGUUCUGUGUUAUGUUGACUCAAUCACAAACAAACUCACCUUUUUUUAAAGAACCAAAAAAAGUUUGCGUUUUCAAUUUGGAAAGGUUUUACUGGGGGCGUUUCCAUCUGAAUAGGUGUCCGUGGGCCAUUUCCAAAUAUAUCCAAAACCAUGAUUUUAAAAUACAGAGUAUCAUAACACGUAUCAUCAUAUAAAUUUUUAAAUUAUGACUUGCAAAUAAAUUUUUCAUCAUAAAAAUAAAAGACAUUUCUAUCAACACUAAACAUAAUGUAGCUAUUAUAAGAAUAUUUUACUAAAAUAAAAUUAAAUAUAUUUUUCGUCUUCUCUAAAAAAAGUCUAUAAUCUAAAUUUUAGAAGUUUUUUUUUAAUAAAAAAAAACUAUUGAAAUGUGAUAAAUAGAUUUUAAUUAUAGAUUAGGAGGUUAGAAUAUUUUGUGUUAAUUUAACGCUAACACGUGUUAAUAUCAUAAUAAGAAAAAACACGGUUAAACUAAAAUCUUAAAAUGAUUCAUUUAGAUUCUAUUUCACGUGGUUGUGGUUGAUAUAAUAUUAUAAUAACAAAAUAGUGAUAAUGAUUCAUUAUAAUAGUUGUUAUUAUAAAUACUCUAAAAUUUAAAUUAAAACAAAACAAAUUUGGUGGGACAAAAAGAAGAUAUUUAAUUCUUAAAACAAAAAUCAUAAGUAGAUAAGGCAAUUAAACUGUGAAACAUAAAUGAAAGAAAGAGACGUGGAUUAAUAGAAAUCCAUAACAUAUUAUUGAGAAUGCGACCCCAAAAGUCUGGGAAGAAGCAAAAAUAGUGUUGAUUUGAAGAGUACAUUGAGCCGUAACAUGCAAGAUUUGGUUAUGUUUAUUUUUUGGUGACGUUGUAUGCAGAUAACGUUUUAGUCUCAACUGUCUAAACUACAAAACAAUAUUAAAUAUCAUAUUGUACUUAUAAAGAUUUAUACUUAGACCGGGUCCAGUCUAGGUAAGAAUGACGCAUUCGUUGACGUUAAGAUUUUAUAAUGUUUUAUGCGCUGCCUUCAAAUUUUAGUAUUCUAUUUCUUUAUUUUUCUAUAAAUAAAUAAAUAAUAAACGAAUAAAUUUUAGUUUAGAGAUUUGUAAGAAAAAUAUUUUGAUUCCUCUAACAUUAAAAUAAUUAAUUUUAAAUUUUUAAUAUUUGUAUUAAACUAAACUAUGCGAUUAAACAAUGAAUAGUUAAAAACACAGGUGAAUUGGUUUAAAGAAUAUUUUCUUAUAUUUUAUGAGAUAAUAGAUUAUUUUUUAUUUAUAAUCGAUUAUAUAUAUAAACAAACAUUUUAAAUUUAGUUAAAAUAAUUAAUUAUUCACUGUUUAUUUGCAAGAAGAAACAUUUUAGAUAUAAUUGAUAUAAUCAGUUAUUUAUUGUUCGUCGACUAUAUACGAAAAUAUACAUAUAUUUUAGAUUUAAUUAACAUAAUUAAUUGUUAAAUUUUUAUAAUCUAUUAUCUACAAAAUAUAGUGAAAUUUAUGCGUGGUUUAACUUUAGGUAAUUGAUUAUAAUUUUAAUAUAAUUAAUUAUUAUGUUUAGAAAAAUAUAAAACCAGUUUUUUUAAAAUUCAAAAUUGUUAAAGAUUAUUUUAAAGAUGGAUUAUUUUUUACAUUUUAUUAUAGUAAAAUAAUGAACAAUUGAUAAAUGAAUCAUCGAUGAUAAGUUCAACACCAUCAAAAUCAAUACAUCAUAGUUUGGUAAAAUUUAAAAGUAUUAAAAUUGUAGUGUACUAUGAUAUCAAGUUACAUAAACACAUCUAGAAGUUCUAUGAUUAAUUAUCAUUUAUUUAUUUAGAAGCAAAUAUUGAGAAUUAAAUUUAAGAAUUAUAAAAAUACAAAUACAAAUUAGAAAAAUAAACUAAUAUUUUUAUAAAAAUAUAUUGGUUUUAAAAUUUAUAGAAAAAUACUAUAAAAAAAGCUUAAUAAUGUAAGAAUUAAAAAUGUAUUCAUACUAAAAGUAAAUAGUUUUGUAACAAUUUGUCUAAAUGGUUAAAGUUCUUAUUCUCAUCUAGUUUAUCAUUUCUCAUUGAUAGAAUGUGUAAAUAUAUUUUCUUGCAAAUUACGAAUCUAAACACAUAGAAGUAAACAUAAAUGUGAGAAAAUUACUUAUAAAAAAGUUUGUCUCUUUUAUGUUCUUUUUCGCUAUUAAAAUAGUUUACAUGUACACUAAAAUGUUUCUAAGCAUACUUUUUUAUGAAUUCUGAGUCCAUCUUACAAGAAUCCCUUAUAGGAGUGUGAUAAAACAAGUAAAUAUUUUUGUCAAUAUUUUUAAUAUUUUUUGUAAUAUUUUAUAUUAGAAUAGAUAAUUAGUUAAGUUUUUUUAUAGCCUUUAAUUAUAUUGAUAGUGUUUUAUAUAAUGAAAUCUUUGAAUGAAAUAAAAUCACAAAAUAAUUUCAUUACUUCUCUCUCCAUUUUUUAAAUGUUACCAACUACUCCCUCUUAUCAACAACUCGUCCCUACCAUUACAUCCAACUCUUAUCUUCUUCCCUUUUAAAUUCAAAAUUUGCACUUUUCAUAACAUGUAAGGUUCUUAUAGCUUAUGUAAGAGAUGCAACUUCCCAACGGAACGUAAAAUAAAUACAUAAAUAAUAAAAGUUUAAAUUCACGAAAGUAUUAGUUUUUUUAAUAUAAAAUAAUAUUAAUAAAAUAUUAAAUUUAUGUGAUUCUGCAUUGUGUUGCAUUUUCUGCUAUGACUAAUGUUUCUUGGAUGUUUUGUAAUAGGUGAAACACUUAUCUUAACAACCAUGGAAAAAUCAGGUUUAAGGUUUCUCACAUUUAUUGUUAAGGGAAUCAAUAUACUAAUAAGGUUGUUAACUUAGGCUUUAUUCAUAAAAAGUAUUUUCAUUGAUAUAAUAAACUUUCAUCUAGUUUUUUAUUAAUAGAUAUAAAUUCCUUAUGUACCGUUUUUGUUAAUAUAUGAGUUUUGGUCUAAUAUUUCAUAUUUUCUUUUAUUUUUCUAAUUUUUUUUUUUAAUAAUAUUUUUUUCCAUAUAAUCACAAAUGAUUGUUGUUUAUUGAAGUGUUAGCCUAACUGAGAUAUCAAGUUCAUAAUGAUAUCUAAUAUAAAAGUUCUAAAAAAUAUUAUUAUUAUUUUUACUAUUUUAUUAUAAUAUAAUAUGAUUAGAAAUAAUUAAUUAUUAUUUACGUUUAUGUAUUUUAAUUAUUUAUUAUGUUACAAUAAAAAUGAAAUAUUUUAUUAUACUUUAUUUGAAAUUAAUCAAUUAUGUAAUUUAUAUAUGUAUUUUUUAUUGGGAAGCGGGAAGCUAAUAAAUUGUAUUUAAUUUGUGGUGAUUCUGCGCCUGAGUUAGUGGUCUUUGGGUCCUUCUUUUUGGUCGGUUAUCGGAAAAAGAGGGUCCAAUAGGGACGAAACAAUUGUAAGAGUACACGUGAUUCACGUACAAUGAAACUAUUGGAUUAUCAACUUUCCACGUCACAUUGCAUGUCUUUUACUCCUUUAUUGAAAGCAACGUUUUAAUUGUAAAAUUGCAUCAGAUCUAUUCCUUAUUUCUGAUAACCAAUAAGUAUAUGGGGAAUGUAUUUGGGUGCAAUUUAAGGCAAAAGCACCAAAAUGCUGCAAUUCCUGUUCAAAAUUAUUAGAAUGGAAAAAGAAAAAGUCAUUGUAGAAAUAGGUAAGUGUUAAGACAAAAGCACAAGUUUGUUUUAUUGAUGUUUUUCUAUAUUUGUGGUGUGGAGUUUGAACAUGAAUUUAAUUAACGACAAAAUGUUAUUGACAUAAACGAUUUUAGUUGGGUAUGUACAGCAAGACUUUAGUUUUGUAAAAGAAAUAUUUUUUUAAAUGAAAUUAUUAAUUAAAUUGUUAAAAAUUUGACAAAUUUUUUAUUUAUUUAUUUGAGAAAGAUUUAGUUAUUUUUUAAUUUAAAAAUUAAUUGAAAAAUAAUGUUAAAAUCCUAAACAAUACACUAUAAAAUAUAAACUUUAAAGAAGAUGUCAGAGGUGAACCUUAAAUCUUAAACUCAAAGAUAAAAACUCUAAAACAUAAAAUGUAAACCGUAAAAUGUAAAACUAGUGUGAACCCUUGAUCAUAAAGUGUGAAACCCUAAAAUUUCAAACACUAAACCCUAGAGCUAAAGUCUAAAGCCUACAAUUAUUUAAGAAAUGAAUGAAAUCAAACUCAGUAAUUUAUAUAUAUAUAUAUAUAUAUAUAAUAAAAAAUUGGCUAACAAAUUGUAUAAUAUAUACUAAGUAAUUAUUUAUAACUAAUUUAAGUUAUUUGUUAUUAAUUAUGUGUAUAAAUUCGUACACAUUCAUUCUUACCCUAUUCUGACAUUCAUCAUUCUUACAGUACAAAUAUUUAUUUACCUUAUUUAAACAUUUCGUCAUGCAUACGAUUAAUAGUUGAUCUUCUUGAUUUCUUAUGUCGAAUGUGGGGGUCUGAGAUUAAAUCCGAUCCACUUUAAUCCUUAUUCCGAACGGGAUGAAAUUUAAUUUCAUAAGUCUUGUAAAUAUAAUGUAGACUAUAGAUUGGGUCAAAGAAUGUCGUUAGUGGUAAAUGACAUGUCGAACAAACAAUGAUAACAUGAGCACAUGGAAGACAGAGAGGUUGAAAUUUUCCACAGUCACACCACUGAUCAUCUAGUUUGACUGUGUAUGACAUAAGUCGACGUCGAAGUUGGGGAGUGACAAGUUCCUGAACAUCAAACUCUUAAUUUUCUCUAUUAUACCUUUGGACAUGAAACAUGAUAGACUGUUGUUCAUUUUUCCAUAGUAAGAUAGUAAUAUCUCCAGGAUAUUGAUGGUCAGUUCGUAACAUGUGUUGUGUCUUGGUCCCUCAUUCAAAAACCAAGAUUUGGUUCUUUCAAAAGUUUUCUUAACUAAAGCACAAAUCGGUAAGAUUCGUACUCCCUUAAGAAUAGAGAUCAUAGACUCAACCAUAUUUGUUGUCAUGUGAUCAUACCUCCUGCCUCCAUCAUAUGCCUGAGUCCAUUUUUCCAAAAGGUAUUUGAUUUAUUCAGGCAAAAGCUUGGUGAAAUUUUGAUUGUAGAGUCUACAACUUUGCCUAUAGAGUUGGUUGUUUCAUUUCAUACCCUAUGACAAUGAAAAAAAUGAGAUUUAAAGUUCAUGUCUUUCAUGAAUAUUGAUUAAUAAAAGGAAAACAAAAUAUAUACCCAUGUUUAUCAACGGUCUCUUCAACUCAACAUUCUUGAAUUUUUUUUAUUGAAAUUUGAUGCAAUGUGGCAUAUGCAAGGAGACCAUCUACUUCCCAGCCAACCUCUAAAGAUUGUAAUGUUGAUACUAUGACCAUUCUUCUAUCAGAUAUCAUGCAUAAAUUUUGUUGUGGUGUCACAUAUGUCUGCAACAAUCGGAAGAACCAUAUAAAUGCUUCCUUGGUUUCACCUUCAACUAUUGCAAAAGCUAAAGGGAAGACGUUUCGGUUCCCAUCUUGACCAAUUGCAGUUAGCAAAGUCUCAUGAUAUUUUCCAGUCAGAAAUGUUCCAUCAACUUGGACUAUAUGUUUGUAGUAAUUGAAGUCAUCAAUGCAUGACUUGAAAAUCCAAAAUACACGUUCCAUGAUGUAACACAAAGUGUCUUAAACAUCGUCUACAACAAAAGGUCGGGUGACAUAUUGGACAAUUGUGCCCGAGACACUUUCUUGUACAACCUGCAACCAUUUUGGAAGAUGAUUAUAUGAUUCAUCACAGUCAUCAAAUUUCAUGGCAAGCGCCUUUUGUUUUGCAAUUCACGCUUUUUUGUACAUGACAGAAUAUCCAUAAUGACUUUUAAUUUCUGCAAUUAAACGUCUUAUCGGGAUAGAUGGAUUUGCCUUCACAGAGUUCAUGACAAUAGAUGCAAUUUGGGUUGAGUCUAAAUUGAUGUGAUUAUCAAAAAAGUCGUUGGCAAACAUGUAUGGGGAGCUUGAAUUUUUUUAUCUCCCACCGAUCACAAAUUUCAGUAAAGGAUGCUCUAAGCAUUGGCAGUUGUUGUUGUAAUGAAUGCAACGUGCUACAUAUCGAUCCGUCUUGGACUCAACGACGAAAAACUUAUAACCUUGAUCAACGUUGUAUUUUUUUUAUUGCGGUCAAUAUAGACUCUUUGUUACAAAAAUACAUCCGUUCAGAAAGGUCAUAUUGAAUUAAUCGUCCCGAUCGACUAUCCAAAUGAGCUUGGUGGCUUAAUGACGUCAAAAAAACAAUUUCAUCGGAUAACUCCUCAACAUCUUCGUCUUCACUAAAUUCGUGAAUCAUAUCUAUGAUUAUGUGCUCUUCCUGAAUGGUUAUAAAACUAUUUAUUUAUAGGUUAUAUAUAUAUAUAUAUAAAUAAUAAUAUUAGAAGUUAUAAUAUGGUUUUUAUAAAAAAUAUCAGUCAUUAAUAUAUCAUUAUCCUAUGUACAUUAGAAUAAUCCUCCUAUGUAAAUGAGGAUAGUAAUUCCAUUCAAUGUUGUGCUUUGAAAUCAUGUAGUGCCAAUUGCAUCUCCACAUUGUCAUGGUCAUAUAUUCAACCAAAGUACUUCUGAAAUUAUUUCUCAAUUGACUAACAUAUAUUGCUUUAGGUGUUAGACUUUUAAGAUACUCUUUAAUAUUUUUAAAUAGUGUAUAAUUUAGGAAUAGAAAUGUUAACAUUAUUUUCAAAAUUUGGUAAACUCCAUCAAGAAAACACAGGUCAGGAUAUUCAUGAAAUUCUGUCCUGUGUUCUUCAAUUCAAAGUCCAGGUCCAUGUGAGUUCAGUGCAGUGUAAGUGGGGACCACGCCAAAUUUUCUCUUUCUAUACAUUUUUUGUCAUUAUUCUUUAUUAUUCUUAAUACUUCAACCAUAAUAUUUUUUAAAUUUUAUUUUAUUAAAUAAACCAAGUAACUACUCUACAAAUGUUAAUUUUUCUUUUAUUAAAUGGUGUGCUUUUUAUUAAAAUUCAUCAUUUUCUCUGUAAGUAUCUGCCUUUUCUUUUAAAACAAUUAUAUUUAAAUUUUUACCAUUCUCUCACGACUUCACAUUGGUCUUCGAUUUUGAAUGGCACAGGUGCAGAGAGUGUGGCCAGUUUUCUGAUGCAGUGGUUCACAAUGAAAAAAUUAUUUUCAUUUUAUUUAGCAGCUUUAAAGAUGACUUGCAGAGAUUUCAAACUCUGUUAUAGAUUGAAAAAAUUAUUUAUAAAAUAAAAUUUGUGCUGACUUAUAUAUUAUGUUUUAAUUUUUAUUUGAUGUGGAAUUUAAAAAGGUGUAUAAACUUUACAGAUGUAAGACACAUUGCUUGGAGGCUUCUGAUAUAAAUUUCAAAUAUAUAUAUNNNNNNNNNNNNNNNNNNNNNNNNNNNNNNNNNNNNNNNNNNNNNNNNNNNNNNNNNNNNNNNNNNNNNNNNNNNNNNNNNNNNNNNNNNNNNNNNNNNNAUAUAAAUUGAUAGAUAUUGAUGUGAUAGAUGAUGACAUGAAUAUAGUAAGAUGUAGUGUCGGUUAGUGAAGGUUCUAGAAUAGAAAUAGUCAACGAAGAAAUGUAUGUAUAUUGAUAACUAAUUUUUUUACAAUUUUCUAACAUUAUUAUUUUAAUAAUUUUUAUAUUAUUUAAUUUUUUAUAUCUUUUAUUAUGUAUAUUUAUUUUUAAAUUCAUCACAUUAAAAAUUUUAUACUCAAAGUAUCAUUUUCCAUAAAUAUAAUAUAAUUUCCGCAUAAAUCGUGGCAUUAAUAUAAUAAGGUGGAGUGUCUUUUCAGUGAAGUAUUUAUUUAUACUAGGAAUCAUGAAUCUGUAGUGAAUAUCCUGUGUGCUUCCUAGCAGCUGCAGAAUUAGACCGUCUUACACAAAAUAUCAGUGAUUAAGGAUCUGGCUUUUGUUGUUGCUAAUGUCCCAUGCUUAUAACCAAACAAUCUUAGGCUUCUAGUUAUGUGAAAUUUAAGGUUAAUCUUAUAAAAUUAGUUUAUAGUAUAAAGUUUAUAUCUAUCUAUAAAUUAUAAAAUAUUCUAAUAUUUAGUGGAUGUAGAAUCUUCAAUACACCUUCUACACAUUGUUGUUUUAGACUAUAUAUUAUGGAUAAUCCAAUGAUGAUCUAAUAAUAGGUGAUAUGAUAAGUCCAACAAACAUUCGUCAAUUAUGAUAGAAUUUAAAUGAUUUUAAUACCAUAUUAAAAAAACUUUAAAUCUAAUUCAAUUUUAUAAAAUUAGUUUAUAAGAUAAAAUUUGUACCAAUUUAUAAACUAUAAAAUGUGAUAUUUUUAGUCUAUAUGACUUAUUUGGUGCUUCGUGUAGAGACUGUUAGAUAUGAAAAGUGUAUAAAUAAGUACAAAGAAUUAAAAAUGAUGAGCAAAGUUUAAAAUGAAUGUUUCUUAUGGUUAUAGUAAAAUUUGUACAAUUAUAAUGUGUGAGGUCUAUGUGUUGGUUAGUUUGAUGUAAUAAAUUGGGAAUCAGUUAAUUCAGUUUUGAAAUUUAUUUGAGGUAACAGUCAUUGUAACUGGUUUUCUACUUGUGGGGUCUAAUUUGUAUAAUGGAUAUCAUCAAAACCUAAUAAUAUCUACAAGGACUAUUUUUCUUCCUGCACCCUAUUUUUUUCCCCACAACUUUUACAACAACCAGUUUUUAAGAUUUCUGAAUUAUUAAUAAUGGAGUUUUUCAAAUUCAAAUUUUUAUAAAAGAAUUUCUGGAAUAAAAUGUUUAGAAUGAGAUUUCUAAAACAAUAUUUUUAUUUUUUUUAUUAAUAAUAAAUUAAUUAAAUUAAACGAAGUAUUAACGAAAUGUUUAACCCUUUCAAAGAAACUCUCAAAACUUUUACACCUUACAGAUAAGUUAUAAGUUAUAACUUUUACACUCUCAAUAUUUGAAUUUUAUAAGUUAUAAAAUAAUAGAAAAUAAAAUAAAAUACCAUAUGUUUAUCAUACGAAGAAGGUUGUGAGUAGUGAAGUUUGUUUUAAUAAUUAAUAUCAUUCAUUAAUUUUACACGCAUUAUAGAAAAAUAAUAAAAUAUUAAUUUUAAUAUAUUUUAUGAUUAAUACACACUAAUAUAUUAGAAUAAAAUAUCAUAUGUAUAAAGUAAAACACAAGUCCUUUUCUCAUUCAUGUUUCUCUACACCAUUGCAACGCCCCUUCAAGCACCAUCAAUGACCGAUUUUAAAACUGUUUUUGAAAUAAUAAAAUAUAAAAAAUAAGAUAAAUUGGUCAUACAUAUAUCUAAAUUUUAUUUAAAUAUAUAAAAAUUAUAUAAAAUAAUAAUAAUAAUAAUAAUAAUAAAAUAUUUUUUUAUCAUGUUAAAGUAUAAAUAAAAGUUUUAAUCAUUAGACAGUAAAUAUAAGAUGAUAUGGAUGAUUGUACAUAUAUUUAAACAACUCUUUAACCUCUUUAAUGUAUAUAAAAGUAGUAUAUAUUAUACAAUUACAUUAAAAGAAUGGAUAAAAACUUAACUAAAAGACUUGCUAAAUGGGAAGUUCUUUUAUAAAAUUACAUAUAAAAGAAGGCACCAAGGAUGCAAUUUAAUACAUUUUACUAAGACAGUGAUAUGACAUGAAAUAUGCAGAUUCAGAAAAUAUGAGUAUGUGAAGAAAAUUGGAAAGGGACAAAAGUUAUUUGGUUGCUGAGUUUUUUUGGCAGUGGUAGGGAAUGGAAAAACAGUUUUAACAUUAUUUUCGCAAAUUUUAACCAUUUAUUAUAGAAGAAGGGAAUCUAACUAUAUAGAGAUUAAAUUCCCAACUACUUUUUUCUUGUUUUCGUUACUAAAAUCUUAGUACAAUUUCGUUUUUGGGAAGAUUGGUUUCUCGAAGAUGAAAUUCCGGAAAGUUUUUUAUGUUUUUUUUUAAAUAAAAGUUUUUAUGUUAGACAUUAUUAUGCAACUUACAUCUCAGUUAGGUUGACACCUCCAAAUAACAACAAUCAUUUGUCAUCACAUAAAAAAAUAUUAUUAAAAAAAAUAAAAACAAAAAUAUAGAGAAACUAUAUUAAAAUGCAUAGGUUAAAAAAACACAAUAUAUAAGUAUAUUAUACCUAUUCAUAAAUAAUUCUAAGAACAAACUAUAUGGAAACCUAUUACACCAAUGAAAUUAUUCUCUAUGAAUAAAUCGUAAAUUAGUCAUCUUAUCAGCACGUACAUUCUCUUCACGAAAGAUAUAAGUAACCUUAAACUUGAUUUUCCCACAUUAAUUAAGACAAGUAUUUCAUCGAUUACGAAACAUCCAAAGAACAUUUGUCCUAGCAGUAAACACAUCAUAAAUCAAGGCAGAAUCACAUUCUAAUCUGACAUUAGUAAGCCCCAACUUUUGAGCUUCUUCCAUAGCAUCUAUAACUUCAUAAAACUCAGCAACCAGAGCAAUCUAAAUUUCAAGAAACGCAGAGAAAACUCCAAUAAAUUCCUCCAUACUCUCACGAAAAAUACCUCCACAAGUAGUAAGAUUAGGAUAUCCCCUAGCAACCCCAUCAGUGUUAAUUUUAAUCCAUCCUGAUGAAGGAAACUCCUAUCUAACAGGAAGAUGACAAAGCUUUACAAGUACAAGUAUUAAUACCAAAAAACUUAAUCACGUUGAAAUCCAACAUACCAUUCUUUAUUGAAGUUUUAGACGAAUUUCCCACUAGACAAGUUAAAUCUUUAAUAACCGAAAUAGCCCUAAAAAUCUCAAUCUUAUCCUGAAAAACGAGCAUAAUUCCUCAUACGUUAUAACAUCCAAAUAGAAAAAGUUAUAACAUCCAAAUAAAAAAAGUUAUCACAACAAGUUUAAUCAAUUUAACCAAAUGACUACCAUCACUCUUAAUGAAAGAAAGAAGAUCAUCCUUAUUAGAUAAAUGAUAGAAAAAAUUUGUCGAACCCAACUCCAAAUAUGCAAAACAUUAGAACAUUCAAAAAAUAAAUGUUGAAUAAAUUCCUUGUUCUUUUCACAAAGUGUACGCAUAGAACAAAUAGGAAGCCGCCUAUGAAAAACUUUCCAAAGUACAAGAGUUUUGGAAGGCAGAAUAUAUAAAAACCAAAUAAAUUUACCCCAACCACAAGAACUCAUGGUUCCAAGAAGAAAGGUCAAGCUGAUUUAAAAGUGAAACGAUCAGACUCAUCUAGAAUCCAAUUAGGAAUAUCUUGUUCCCCUGACCUGAUAUCGCUAAAAAGAUUAGACAUCUACGAUAAAGACAAUGAAAUAUUUCAAUCACAACCUGUCCAAAAUUGAGAAACUGUAUCCAAAAUGCUAGCACCAUCAAAUAUCUCUGCAAUAUUUGCUAAAGAAGUAGUAGAACACCAUUUAUCAUUCCAGAAAUUAAUAUUUUAAUUUAAUGUAUAUUUUAAAAUUUGAAAUUUGAGUUGAAAAGAGUUGGACACAUGGAUUGCACAUCCAAUUUCAUUUAUUUUAGAUUUUUAUUUAAGUAGAAAAUAAAAUAAUUUAAGAUUUUAUAUUUAUUUAGAAUUUUGAAAACCUUAAAAAUUUUAUUUAUUUGAGAUUUUUAUUUAAAUAAGGAUUUGUAUUUAUUUAAAAUUUUGAAUAAUUUAGAAAUUUUAUUGUAUUUCAGAUUUUAAUUUACAUAGCACAUUAAAUAAUUUAGAAUUUCUGUUUAUUGAGAUUUUAAAUAAUUUAAAUAUAUAAAAUUUCUAAAUUAUUUAAAAUUAUAAAUAAAUAUAAAUCCUAAAUUAUUGGAUAUUAUACUAAAUAAAAAAUUUACAGUAAAUAAAAUUUAAAAAUUAUUCAAAAUGUCAUGAUUUUGUCUUUCAAUAAACCUCUCCACAAAUAUUUGUAGAGAAGAAAAGAAACAAAAUUAAAUUUAGUCAUAACUCGUGUAAAAUUAAUAUAGAAAACUUCUAUAAUUAAUUGAAUUUGUUUAAAUUAAAUUUUCCAAGAAAACAAUUUUAGAAGAAAAGUAUAAAAAUAAAAUAAAUCUGUUAAUAAACUAAUUUAUAAAAAAAAAUCGUAUUAGCUUCUACAAAAUCUAAUCCUAAAUUUAUGUAUAAGUUUAUUGCAAUUUAUGAAAAAAUAACAAAUACCCAGUUCAGUAAAAAUUGCUAAAAGACUGGUUUUAUAAUUAACAGAAAAUCUACAUUCCAACUUCAAAAUUAGAAUAUUAUAAUUUAUAAUCAAUUAAUAUUAUAGAAAUGUAGAACAAUUUAGUUUAAUUGCCAAAGAGUACUGACUAAAGAAUUUAUAAAAGAAACAUAAAGAAGUACAAUAAUUUAUAAAAGAAACAAAGAAAAUAAAUAAAAAAACUUAAAAGAAACUAAAAGAAAAUAUUAAUAAAAGUGAUGAGCAGUACAUCCAAGAAAACCAGAAGAAAGUUAUUUCUCUAACUUCCUGAUUUCAUUGAAGAUUUUAUCUCAAGUGUUUCUAACGCAGGAGCAUAUUCAGUUGUUAUUUUCUCCCUGAAGGCUUCGGCCCGGCUGAUCUCCAUUAAUAUUUUCCUCUCUCAUUUUCUCAGGAACAGACGUCUCUAAUCCUGUUCUUGGCAACUCAGUAUCCCAACUUUUAAAUUGGCGAUCAAAUUAUAUGUAAUUAGUGUAGGUAAUAUUGUACCAUAUGUACUCAUAUGUAAUUAUAUAUAAUUAAUUUAAUAAUAAUAAUAGAAUCUCUUAAUUAAAUUCAGUAUCUCAAUUCAGUAGUGUAAUAUAAAAAAAAAUAUAUAAUUAUUCUAAAUUUUCAAUUUUAAAAUGAACACUCAUUAAUUAAACAAAAAAAAUUAAUAAUUACAUUAAUAAAAUAAUUAUAUUAUUAUUUCUAUUUAUAAAAUUUAAAUAUUCAAAUUCUCAUUAAUAAAUCAAAAUUUGGAUUAUUAUAAUAUAUCAAUUUGAUUCUAUUAUUUAUAUUUUUAUAAUUUAAAUAGAUUUUGUAUUUAAAUUGAAUUUUAUUUAUUAUACUAUAAGAAAAUAAGUAUAAUUUUCUCCUCUCUAUAUAAAAGAUUUCUCUAUUUAGAAUUUAAAUAUUUUCCAUUCAUAUUAAGAUAAGGUUUUGAAUGUUUUUAUUAAAUUUAAAAAUAAUUUUUGGCUUCAUUAUAAGUUUGGUUCUUAUAUUUUAUUUUAAAAUUUCUAGAUUCAGAAUUAUUGUUUUGUAUUUUUACUUUUUAAUUAAAUUCAAACGACUCAUUAAUUCAACAUAACAUUACGCGGAUCUUGAAAAUUUAAGCUUUUUGAAAUGUAGAUUAAACUUUACUUUUAUUCCCACUCCAACAAUUACUAUUCACACUCCCCUUCUCUUUUUAUAUUUUAAUUAUACAUGCUCGGAUAAGUAAUAAUAGUAACAAAGUAAAAGUUUACAUUCCAACUAUCCAUGAUUUUGUAUGUUACAGUGCUCAAAAGUGAAACUUCGAUAUAACCAUCAAAACAAAUAUAAUGAAAACUGAAAACUACAUCACAUAUAUCUUUGAGGACUUUCAUCAAACAAUUAACGGACAUUAGUAUUUAAUUAUUUUUAUAAUUACUUUGAGGAUUCACUAGUACACUACACCAAGAAUAAUGUGUUCUAAUAUCAUAGGAACAAAUCGAGAGAAGCAGAUUAAACUCUUUUUUUUAUUAAAGUUAGAAACAGAAUACACUUACACAGAAACUUAAAUUACACAGAAAUUUAAAGCUAGAAACAUAAACUACUUAUAAACAGAUACUACUUAAAGAAACUAAAACUAUUUACUUAGCUUCUUGAUUUCUGCGUAGAUCUUACGUCUAUCUCCAAUUGCAUAUAUUCCUAUUGCUUCUAAAUUUCCAUUUCGAUAUGUUAUUAGGGGAAGUGCUUUUUCAUCGAUAUGAUGUUUCUCGAACUCAGGAGCAUAGUGACUCAGCUCUAUCUCUAUAUUGGAAGUGUGUUCCAUAAACACCAGAAGUGUGCUAGAAGUUUCUGGAGAAUAACAGAAACUUUCAUUUUUUUGGCACCAGUUAGUAGAACAAUCCAGAACACCACCUUUUUUUUUUUGCUUCUACUUUAAUUUAAAUAUAAAAUAUUACUUACAUUACUUGUUUUAAUUUAAUAAUAACGCUUAUUUUAAUACUUAUUCUUUUAAUAAAAAAAUCAUUUUGUUUAUAAUUUUAAAAAGUUUAUAUUUAAACUUUAACUAUUUUUAAUUCUAAUCUAUGUAAUAUUUUAAACAAAAUAUUAAGAUGUCAUUCACUAAUGUUUAAAAAUAUUUUUAGUUUCCAAAAAAUUUAGAAAUUUUGCAUUUAGAUCCUAACAUUUUUUAAACUUUUGGUUGCUUCUAAUACAUUAUAUGCAUUGACAUUAUUUCAUGAUUAAAAACACAUAAUUUGCUGAUGAUAAAAAAAUUGAAAAACUAAAAGAAAUAUCUACAGACAUUUUAAAAAUUACUUUAAAAAAAUAAUAUAAUAAUAAGAACGGAGUAUAAAUAAAUCUUUUCAAAGACUAAAUACAAAAAAUGUAUAAACAUUUUAAGAAUAAAAAAAUACAUUAACAACUAGAUACAAAGUUCGAAAAUUUUUUAGAAAUUAAAACAUCUUUAAAUCUUAAAAAUAUUAAGAAAAUUAAUAUCUUUCCUAGAUAUAUAUUUAGAAAUUAAAGGGGUCUAAAUGAAUUUUAUUUAAAAUUUAUUGGAUGCAUGAGCAAAAGUGUAUGAAUUUCAUUAUACGCAUCAACAAAGAGUAUAAAUUUUAAUGUAUGCAUAUGAUUCAAGUUAUAAAAGUUAAAAACAUUUUUCCCAAUAUUACUGUUUGUUCUAACUCCUAAUCAAAUAUAUAUAUAUAUAUAUAUAUAUAUAUUAUUAUCAUAUGAUUAUUUUACUUUAUUCAAUUUUAAUAAAUAAAAUAGAAACUAACCAAGUCAUUUAAAGUCAAGGCAAAUGUUUUUCUAAAUUAUACAUUUUCCUUUGCAUGAAUAAACCCACACAAAUAAUAAAAUGAUGAUAAUAUAUGUAUUGUCUAAUUACUGAUGCCAAAAAUCAUUUUCACCUACAAAAUCGAUCUUUUAACCAUUACUCCUCUCGGAGUUUUAAUUUGAUACAAAUUUUUCCUGUAAUAUAUCAUUUUUUAUAUGCGACUGAAUUAAUUUUUUAAAUCCAAUUUUACUCUUGUUACGUAUUUGUUUACAAAUGUUAAUAUUCAGAAGUCACAUAAUUAAUUAUGAAUAUUGAUAUCCGGAAGUGUCAACUUUGCAUAUGGAUAUUGGCAUUCGGAAGAGUCAGCUUUGUCUAUGGAUAUUGGCAUCCGGAAGUGUCAGUUUUACCUACGAAUAUUGGCAUCCGGAACUAGCACUCUUUGACUACGGACAUCUUUAUCCAGAAGGCACCAUCAUGCUUCCGGAUAUACAUAUCUGGAAGCAAAUCAUCUUGAACUUUAUGUUUGGGCAGUGUGAUAUUUUGCUACUUUUAAUGGAUUAAAACCAUUAAACCAAACCAAACACUAAUUUGAUCAUGCGCAAGGUCGACUACCAGUAAGGCAUAGUAAGGCUUGCAUGAUUUGGUGUAGAAAAUUUUACUUAUCAGUAUUCUUUUGUUCAUUGCUAAGAGUUAAGAUAUCAUGCAUCAAUUGACUCGUCCUUAGGUUUUGACGGAAGGAAGAUCGUUUUGGCCUCUUGGAAAAAGGUUAGUGAGCCUCGCGAUAUCGGGGUAUUGGAAUUAUGAUCUAAGGAUUUUUAACUUGGCUUUGUUAGGAAAGUGGAUUUGAAGGUUGGGUUCGGAUAAGAGUGGUUAAAAGGUUAAAAGACGACGGUUAUUUUCAAUUUUAAACGGCGCGCAUUUGAUGUACACGUAGUCUUAAAUCCAAUAGAUAAGAAUAUGGCUAUUUAGCCGCAUUAGUAAAUACGAUUUAUAAAUGCGACUAUUGUAAAUAGCCGCAUUCUUAUUUAAAAAAAUAAAAAAAAUAAAAAACGCUAAAUCCUAAACCUUAACCUAAACAUUAAAAUAAAAAUUUAAAAUUUAAAACACCAUCAACCUUGUGCGUGAAAGGCAGCAACGACGACAACAGUGGAGGCAGCAACAGCAGCGGUAGCAGACGCGACAACAGAGACAUAAACGACGGCGGCAGCAAACGCGAAGACAGCGACGGAGCAAAGCAAAAACCCACACAAGUAGUAACAAAAUGCAAUAAACACAAAGUAAGAGAAACGAAAAAAUUUAUAAACCAUUAGUGAAGAAGAAAGAGAGCUCCAACGAACUUAUAAUGACACGAGAAGACAAUGAAGCUCGCAAAAGAAGAGAGGAACACCAUAACAAAAACGAAGAGAAAACGCAAAGCGCUAAGAAAAAGAAAGUAUGAAAGUGUAAGUGACGCGCUUCAGAAUUAGAGUAAAAAAUGAUUUAAGUAUACGGCUAUUACAAAUAACCGCAUUCGUAAAUGAAGUUAAGUUUUUAAUAAAUUCUACUUUAUUUCAUUUAAUAUCUUUAUUUAUUAGGAAGAAAUUGGAUAUUAACCAUAUGCUUUUAAGAUGAUAAUGUCUAUAAGACAAUUGAGCUAAAUUUAGAUAUUAAAAUAAGAAAGUAGAGUAUGAAAGCAUAAGAGAAGUGUAAACCACACCAAGAAUAACUUAUUUCAGUCUGAUUAAGUCUCAUUUUACACUAAAAUUUAUUCAUAAGCAUGAUCAUAAGAGAAGCCAAGUGAACAACUAAUAAAGGUUUCCACGUUUCUUGAAGGGUCACAAACUUAAAACUUGACGAAGUUCUUUUCCUUCAAGCUCUCCACAGUAUCCUUGAUGCUCACUUCCAAAGGAAUAUAUUCAAUCCCCAAGCUCUUUGCUUUUUCCUUCGAAACCUGAAAUGCUGGAUCAUAUGGCUUAUCAUCUACGCACCUGGUAAUAUUGUUCACAAAGUGAAACCAUAUUAGACGACUAACAUAUAACAAAAGGAAAAACUUACUUUACUAACAAACAAGAUGGUUUAAACCUUCUGAUAGAAGAUUAGACGGUCUAAUGUAAACAAACAGACUAGACUAGACUGUCUGCUGUUGAAUUGAAUAAACUGACCAGACUGUAUGGUGUAAAACCGUCUACACCGAUUUUAUCACCAGUGCUGAAUGCAUUUCUGACACCAAAUUCAGUUUUCAAGCAAGUAAAUAAAGCACCAAAUGGUAAGGUACAACAGAUGCGGACUUAUGUUCACGUUCUACAUAAUUGUUUGCAAUCUUGAAACUACCAAAAUAAUUAUACUCACUUCUCUGGAAGUUGCAAUGUUGGGUACAGAUCACGUAAAAUCUUCACAACGUUUGAGAAGUGUGUCACUCUCUCAACUAGCAGAUAUCUUCCAUUAGCUGAAGCACUCUCAUACGCUAGAACAUGGGCCAUUGCAACAUCUCUCACGUCCACCCAUCCCAAAGUUAUAUUUUUAAAUGUUGGCGAACCUAAAUCGAGGAGAUGGAACAGUUUCUUCAAUUAUCUAAGAAUUGUUCAGCCAAGAAUCAUAACACAGGUUGUUGAAAAAUCAUAACAUAUUAUUAGUCCUCUCUUUCAUAUUCCAUUUUAAUGUAUGUUUUUUAUUUGAUCCAUAACAUUAACAUAGUUUGAGUUGAAAAAAAUUA
rnacentral:lncRNA from 1 species